rnacentral:rRNA from 1 species
GACGUAGGGCGCGAGCGUUGUCCGGAUUUAUUGGGCGUAAAGAGCUCGUAGGCGGCUUGUUGCGUCGACUGUGAAAACCCAUGGCUCAACCAUGUGGUCUGCAGUCGAUACGGGCAGGCUAGAAUUCGGUAGGGGAGACUGGAAUUCCUGGUGUAGCGGUGAAAUGCGCAGAUAUCAGGAGGAACACCGGUGGCGAAGGCGGGUCUCUGGGCCGAUAUUGACGCUGAGGAGCGAAAGCGUGGGGAGCGAACAGG